GCAAGUCGAACGGUAACAUUACUAGCUUGCUAGUAGAUGACGAGUGGCGGACGGGUGAGUAACAUGUGGGUAUCUACCCUUUGGCCUGGAAUAACACGAGGAAACUUGUGCUAAUACCGGAUAAGUCUUUACGGAGAAAGCUUUAUGCACCAUUGGAUGAGCCCGCACUUGAUUAGUUUGUUGGUAGGGUAAUGGCCUACCAAGACUAUGAUCAAUAGCUGAUUUGAGAGGAUGAUC
rnacentral:rRNA from 1 species